UUUUUAUUAAUUAAUUUAUUUGCCAAAAUACACCUCGAAUUUUAAUAAUUUGGAGUUACAUCCUACAUAGUAUUUGAUAUUUGUGUUUACACUUUGGUAACAAUAUCGCAUAACAAAGAAACAAACCAGUUGAAUCUCAUCUUGUUGAAUCAUGGCAAAAUCAUAUGAAUCCGCACUUAGAAAUCAUAUAUCACGGAUUGUAUCAAAUAUAAAACCCCAUAAACCGAAAACAACCCAACCCGUAUCGCCGAACCGGGUCACGACUCCACGAACCGCUAAACAAGACGUCACUGUUAAGGUUGAACCGCCGAAGAAGGUGGAACCUGUGGAAACUCGAAAACCCCUUUCCAAGGUGGUCGCUGAUUGCACUAGACGGUGGUUUCAUGAAACGCUUAAGGAGGCCAAAGGUGGGGAUAGCUCCAUGCAACUUCUUGUUGGUCAAAUGUAUUACUCUGGCUAUGGUGUUCCUAAAGAUCCUCAAAAGGGACAUGCUUGGAUUAGUAAAGCAUCAAGAAGUCGAAAUUCAGUUUGGCAAGUAAGCGAAAAACAACCAGGUUACAAAGCAAGUGAUUCGGAUUCAUCUGAAGAGGAGAAGAAAUCUACUGCUUAAUUUUCAAGUAUGAAGGUAAUGGUUAGACUUUAAUCAAUGCUUUGUUAUUCUUUAAAUUAUUACGAGCUUGAAUUUCAAUUCUAUAAUAAAGCAUAUGAUAACUUGUUGGAAAAUGCUUGUGCUUAUACACUUUGGCAUCCAAAACAUAAGUUGAAUCUUCUUAAAAUCGUUAACUAUAUGCCUUGUUGUAGUAAUGCCUAGACGAUGAGAGUAACUCCUGUACUGAGGCUUUCAUCUAUAAUCCUCAAUUCUUUGGAAGAUCAUAGCUACAAAUGCAAUUUCACAACUCUGAUUCUGACUAGCAUAUAGUGUAUGAGUAAUGCUAAGGUCACACUUUUAACACACCCUUUUGACACACUCCAAUCAUAAUUGAACAUGUCAUCCACUUCUUCUUGUUGGUUUACCUAUUACCGGUUUCAAUUUAAAACACUAGUAACCAUUUAUUUAUUUAUUUAUUAUUACUUAUUUUUCUUUGCAUUUUCGGACUUUGUCUAUUCGUGUUCUCUUCUUCCUUUUUCACUAUCACCAACGAGUUCUUUGGAUCUGACUUCUUCUCUUGCCACUGGGGAAGCGUAGAGUGAUAACUUAAUUCAUCCAUGGUAAGCAAUAAUUGUUUUGGCUACAUGUGUUUUCCCAAUUUGUAAUGCAUCUCCAACACGUUCACGUACACACCUUUGAAUUUGAUCCAGAAAACUACAUGUGGCAGUGGCAAAUUAAGUAGAAACAAUAAAGCAAAUGAAAUCCAAAGAAACCAUUUUUGUGAGAAUAUCAUUGGGUGAAAAAAAUUGAAAAUAAGGAAAUAAGAGAAUCAAAGCAGCGUUAAAGAAAUCGAGAAAUACGGUGAAAAGAUUGGAUUUUAAAGAAAAAAUCUUGAAUUGGGUUUUAAUUAGGAAGAAGUAGAAUUGAACUUGUCUUCUGUAGCCAUUGCCAUUUAAAUAACACAACAAUGAAACCUUCCUCUAAAAUCUGGAAUUGAAACGGUGAAUCAUUUUUGUGUAGCCAUUAGAGCUUGAUAUUGAAACGACGAUAAAGAUAACUGAUAAUAAGGGUUUCUGGAGAUGGAAGAGACAAUGCGUAAAAAAGGUUUUUAUUUUUUACAAAAAGGUUUUUUUGUUGUCAACCUGCUAAACAGGUUACUAGGUAAAGGAUUACAAAAAUAGGGUGAUGUGGCCCAAUAGAUAGAGGUGUGUUGAAAGGAGUGUGUUAGUGAGUGUGACCUUAGCACUCCUCUAUAGUGUAUUUAGAUGUAGCUGUAAUAGCUGCCUGAUACUAAUUAGUAGUAUGAUUGGUAUCUGGGUGUAUUCGGUAUGAAACGAUAAGCUACAGUGUGCUUAUGUAUAAGUUAUUUCAAUAAGAAAACAUAAAAUAAAAUCAACUUAUGCACAUGUCAUAAGUUGUUUCUAUAAGUUUCCCCAAACAAUCUCACCAGCGCUUAUGUCAGUAAAUAAACCCAAAUAAGUCAAUCCAAACACGACCAAGUGUCGGUCAAAUGGGUGCUGCACUUAUUUUGGUUUGUAUUUAGUCAAUUAAUGCAUACUAGGAUAAUCAUGAGCAUGCAAUGUAUUUGGUUGUUGCUGCAAUUCGUAUCAAAUGCUGCUUGAUAAUAACCAGAUGUAUGAUCAGUAUUUCAAUCGAUGUAGUUGAAUGAUAAACUUCAGUUGGGCUGAUCAAUGUUAUAAGUCCUUAAAGAAGGUUGGGCAACAAGGCGUCAGUGUCUAUCUUGAGUGUUUUAAUAGGAUCACAGUGUGUAUUGGUGGCACGGGUGAUGAUAAGCAAGUUUUAUCAUACUGAAAUAUUGCAGUGCUUGUGAGCACUAACAAAAUGAUAUUGGAGUAUAUUUGCCUCAUGGGAUGUGAAAGAUGUUGAUCGAGGAAGCUUUUAUUGAACAAAAUGAUAUUGGAGUAAAGACAUAUUACUUCUCAAUACAUCAUUGUCUAAUAAAAACAUAACAGUGGCGGCUUUAGUAGCAGAACAGAGGAUGAAAAACAGGGAGCUGCAAACUAAAAUGGUGGGUGUGUGAGCACGGGAUUAGCAGCAAACUAGGAAGAAAGUGCAUGGCUGAGGAAUGUAACAGGGAAUGCCGGUUAAGGAAUGGCUAGAAAGACCAUUGAUCAAUGAAUGUGCUCAAACUCGUAAGGGUCAAGAUGAAUAGAAGCUGCUUGGUUCAAAUAUAUAUAUGAUGUUUGGCAUGAAAGGGAAUGAUUUUUGCUGCUAUUUGCAGUGGACAAUGACAUGUAUGAAAAAUGCUACGCUACAUGCAUUUGGUAGUGGUCACCUUCCAUGACACACAUGCACGGCCAAGCCAUAAGCGAAUUGAUAACUAUGCUUGUUUGUGAUGACAAAUGCUUAAAUACUUUUAGGGUUAGGUUGCGAAACUAGCAAGCUUGCUUGCUACUAUGGUGAUACUAAGGGAUCAGGACUGUUAACGAUAAUCUAGACUACAUCUCUGACAUUGCUCUCCGUUCCAUUUGUUUCAAAUUAAGACCAUCCUUAACUGUCUUCACCUUAUCUCGGGCGGUAUGGCGUUCAUUAGGCAUUACUGCCUUGUGAUGAAGAGUAGGAAGUGUUUGAAAUCCUUGUUCGAGUUUGCUGCAUUUUGCAGCAAGUAUUAGCAUGCAUGUCCCUCUUUAUACAAGACAACUGUCUUUUUUCAACUUUUUAAAAUAAACUUAUCUUUUGUAUCCUAUAUGUAUAUGUAAGUAUCCGUGUUGCGGUGAAUAAUUAUUGGAUCAAAAUAAAAUGCUUAGAUCAACUUUGUUAAAUUAACAACUUGCGGUACAAGUAGUUUGGGUGGAUAGAACUGAGAAGUAAUAUAAUGCAGUAAAAACAUUCAAUGAUAGGGAGUUUCUUUUUCCACUUCCACAGUCACUUCAGAUGUAACUUCCCAAUAAUAUACCAAGUGCUUAUACAUCA